rnacentral:ncRNA from 1 species
UCCUUCGGGGCAAGGUGAAAGUCCUUACCGGCGGUGAUGAAGCGAUGGCUUCUUAGUCCGUGACCCGGUUAACACGAUGUUAAACGGUGGAUCUGGUGAAAUUCCAGGGCCGACAGUUACAGUCUGGAUGGGAGAAGGA